CCGCUGUCAACGAUUUCCUGGGCAAGGUGGAGUGAACACACUCCUGCAAAUACAUAGUUCACAAUCCUUUAGGUGAGGUAAAUCCAUUAGUCGGGGUUGAGGUCGGGUGCAUACCUUUGGUUAGGCUUAAAAGGGGAAGAAGCCGCUGUCUGAAUUUCUCAACGAUUUCCUGGGCAAGGUGGGGCGAAUACACUCUUGCAAAUACAUAAUUCAGAAUCCUUUAGAUGAGGUAAACCCAUUAAUCGAGGUCGAGGUAAGGUGCAUACCUUUGGCUAGGAAGAAGCCGCUGUCUGA